CAGCAGCCACGGUAAUAGGUAGGUGGCAAGCGUUGUCCGGAAUUAUUGGGCGUAAAGGGCUCGCAGGCGGUUUCUUAAGUCUGAUGUGAAAGCCCCCGGCUCAACCGGGGAGGGUCAUUGGAAACUGGGAAACUUGAGUGCAGAAGAGGAGAGUGGAAUUCCACGUGUAGCGGUGAAAUGCGUAGAGAUGUGGAGGAACACCAGUGGCGAAGGCGACUCUCUGGUCUGUAACUGACGCUGAGGAGCGAAAGCGUGGGGAGCGAACAGGAUUAGAUACCCCAGUAGUCCCUGUCUCUUAUAC
rnacentral:rRNA from 1 species